rnacentral:RNase_P_RNA from 2 species
UGAGUCGGCCGGGUGAACGCGGCGAUUGAACUGCUCCGUUUGCCGGGGUAAGCAAAAGCCGAGGAAAGUCCGGACUUUAUCGAGCACAGUGAUUGCUAACAGCAACCCAGGGCAACCUGCGGGCAAGUGCAACAGAAAGUAGACCGCCGCGUGCAAGCGCGGUAAGGGUGAAACGGUGCGGUAAGAGCGCACCAGCGUCCCAAGUGAUUGGGGCGGCUGGGUAAACCCCACUGAAAGCAAGGCAUCAUGGCCCGUUAUUAGCGGGCUUGAUCAGGUGUUGGAGAGCUGCUCGCUCGAACCUGAAGGUAGCCGCUUGAGGCGUGUUGGCAACGACACGUCCAGAUGGAUGUUCACCGCUGCGUGGGUAUUGCACCUGCGCAGUACAGAAUCCGGCUUAUAGGCUGGCUCAUUCU